CAAAUCUUGUGCAUAAGAUGACACUCUUAUAUACCUGCAGUAACUAUCAGAGGACCAGCGUCCUAGUACUUUGACCAAAUGGUCUUCAAUAUUUGCUUUAACGGCAGUUGUGGCAGCUCCAAUGCGUAAGCUAUGACCAUUGAAGUGAUCAGGGUUGAAGCCACAUAAACUAUUAAAUACAUGUUAAAUACAAUUAAUGAAAUAAUUUCUUUCCAAGGCU
rnacentral:lncRNA from 1 species